rnacentral:lncRNA from 1 species
AUAUAUAUAUUAUAUAGUAAAGACAAGAGUGCACACGCUGAAAUGUCUCGCCUUCUAUACUAAUCAUUGAUAUUAUGUUGAUAGUCCUAAGUAUAAAGCUUUAUUACAACUGUCUCAUAAACUUAACAUUAACCAAGAUAACUAAACAAAGACCAAUGAACCAUGAAAAUGAGGUCAAGGUCAGAUGAACCAUGCCUGGCAGACAUGUACAGCUAACAAUGCUUCUAUACAACAUAUAUAGUUGACCUAUUACUUAUAGUUUAAGAAAAAUAGACCAAAACACAAAAACUUAACACUGUGCAAUGAACCGUGAAAAUGAGGUCACGGUCAAAAGAAACCUGCGCUACUGACAUAAAGAUCAUAAAAAAUUUCCAUACACCAAAUAUAGUUGACCUAUGGCAUAUAGUAUUAGAUAAAAAGACCAAAACUCAAAAACUUAACUUUGACAACUGAACAUGAAAAUGAGGUCAAGGUCACAUGACAUCUGACCGCUAGACAUGUACACCUUACAAUCAUUCCAUACAACAAAUACAGUAGACCUAUUGCAUAUAGUAUGAAAAAAACAGACCAAAACACAAAAAUUUAACUAUAACCACUGAACCAUGAAAAUGAGGUCAAGGUCAGAUGACACCUGCCAGUUGGACAUGUACACCUUACAGUCCUUCCAUACACCGAAUAUACUAGCCCUAUUGCUUAUAGUAUCUGAGAUAUGGACUUGACCACCAAAACUUAACCUUGUUCACUGAUCCAUGAAAUGAGGUCGAGGUCAAGUGAAAACUGUCUGACAGACAUGAGGACCUUGCAAGGUACGCACAUAUCAAAUAUAGUUAUCCUAUUACUUAUAAUAAGAGAGAAUUCAACAUUACAAAAAAAUUUGAACUUUAUUUUCAAGUGGUCACUGAACCAUGAAAAUGAGGUCAAGGACAUUGGACAUGUGACUGACGGAAACUUCGUAACAUGAGGCAUCUAUAUACAAAGUAUGAAGCAUCCAGGUCUUCCACCUUCUAAAUAUAAAGCUUUUAAGAAGUUAGCUAACACCGCCGCCGCCGGAUCACUAUCCCUAUGUCGAGCUUUCUGCAACAAAAGUUGCAGGCUCGACAAAAA